GCUUCAGACGCAGAAGGUGCGCAUCACAGACUUCUUGGACGAGCGCUCUGCUUACCUGACCAAGUUCGCCAAGGACGCCGACUCGGAGUUCGACCUGAUUGGGCAGAACGCUAUGAAAGAACUUGAUGCCGUUGGUGACCAGGUGAGCAUCUCUUGCCAUCAAUAGCUAUGAACAUCUUACUGAUACUCACUGUUUGACAAACAACUGCGGUGUCUGACGAGGUAGAUACUGGAGAGGCUCGACAGCAAGAUGCAAGCCUUCGAGGAGACGGCUGAGGUGCAACGGCAAGAGAUAGAAAUGAACGAUAAGGUGUUAGAGGACUUCGAAGACUGGAUCGAAAAGGAGAAAAACGAAGGGAUGUUCUUCAAAAGCCUUGGCAAGGUCAAACCUCGGAACAAGAUGGAAAUAAAGGUGAAAGCCAAGGUGGAAGCACAGAAGGUCAAAGAGAUUGCAGAGGAGAGUGCAGGAUCAAAAACUCGUAUGAACAUUUACCUGGGGCUGAUGGGGAUACUCGGGAUUACAAUUGCGAAUGCCAUCUUUGCAACACCAGAGGUGGAGUGGAGGAAGGUUGCUGCUCUGGGUCUGAUUUUCAUUGGUCUGGUUGCUCAGGUCAUCUACGAGCAGGAUAUCUCACCGCCGGAAGCUGAGAAGACAGAGAAAAUAGAAGAAUAAAAAAGGAGUUGCAGACAUAUCGGUAGGGUGGUGUAAUCUCACACAGGCAAUGUAAACUGUAUAUGGUAGCAUGAAUAGAUACAAGGUUUAAUACUUCAAUCGUUCAUAACCCAAGAAAUUAUUUAAUACGUAGUUCGGCAAACAAACCACAGGUUUCUCUAACCUGAGAUCUGAUAGACUCAAGCAGACUUCAAACCUGCUUCAGAGAUAUGUUUCAGCAAUGUUAUAGCCAAAACAUGGUAACAGUGUUACCUUCUUGACGAGUUAGAAAAAUAUUGACACAAUUUUUAUAAUCCAAAAAAAAAUGUUUAACAUGUAGCUUGGCCAAUAAACCACAGGUUUCUCUAACCUGAGGUCUGAUAAACUCAAGCUGUCUUCAAUCUUGCAUCAGAGAUUUGUUUCAGCAACGUUAUAGCCAAAACAUAGUAACAGUGUUAAAUUCUUGAUGCGUUACAAAAAUAUUGAUACAUUUUUUUAUAAUCCAAAAAAAAUGUUUGACAUGUAGCUUGGCCAAUAAACCACAGGUUUCUCUAAUCUGAGAUCUGAUAAACCCAAGAUGUCUUCAAUCUUGUAUCAGAGAUAUGUUUCAGCAAUGUUAUAGCCAAAACAUGGUAACAGUGUUAAAUUCUUGACGAGUUACAAAAAUAUUGAUAUGAUUUUUUAUAAUCCAAAAAAAUGUUUAACAUGUAGCUUGGCCAAUAAACCAUAGGUUUCUCUAAUCUGAGAUCUGAUAAACACAAGCUGUCUUCAAUCUUGUAUCAGAGAUAUGUUUCAGCAAUGUUAUAGCCAAAACAUGGUAACAGUGUUAAAUUCUUGACGAGUUACAAAAAUAUUGAUAUAAUUUUUAUAAUCCACAAAAAUGUUUAACAUGUAGCUUGGCCAAUAAACCAUAGGUUUCUCUAACCUGAGGUCUGAUAAACUCAAGUUGUCUUCAAUCUUGCAUCAGAGAUUUGUUUCAGCAACAUUAUAGCCAAAACAUAGUAACAGUAUUAAAUUCUUGAUGCGUUACAAAAAUAUUGAUACAUUUUUUUAUAAUCCAAAAAAAAUGUUUGACAUGUAGCUUGGCCAAUAAACCACAGGUUUCUCUAACCUGAGGUCUGAUAAACUCAAGCUGUCUUCAAUCUUGCAUCAGAGAUUUGUUUCAGCAACGUUAUAGCCAAAACAUAGUAACAGUGUUAAAUUCAUGAUGCGUUACAAAAAUAUUGAUACAAUUUUUUAUAAUCCAAAAAAAAUUGUUUAACAUGUAGCUUGGCCAAUAAACCACAGGUUUCUCUAAUCUGAGAUCUGAUAAACCCAAGCUGUCUUCAAUCUUGUAUCAGAGAUAUGUUUCAGCAAUGUUAUAGCCAAAACAUGGUAACAGUAUUAAAUUCUUGACGAGUUACAAAAAUAUUGAUAUAAUUUUUAUAAUCCAAAAAAAUGUUUAACAUGUAGCUUGGCCAAUAAACCAUAGGUUUCUCUAACCUGAGGUCUGAUAAACUCAAGUUGUCUUCAAUCUUGCAUCAGAGAUUUGUUUCAGCAACAUUAUAGCCAAAACAUAGUAACAGUAUUAAAUUCUUGAUGCGUUACAAAAAUACUGAUACAUUUUUUUUAUAAUCCAAAAAAAUGUUUAACAUGUAGCUUGGCCAAUAAACCACAGGUUUCUCUAACCUGAGGUCUGAUAAACUCAAGCUGUCUUCAAUCUUGCAUCAGAGAUUUGUUUCAGCAACGUUAUAGCCAAAACAUAGUAACAGUGUUAAAUUCAUGAUGCGUUACAAAAAUAUUGAUACAAUUUUUUAUAAUCCAAAAAAAAUUGUUUAACAUGUAGCUUGGCCAAUAAACCACAGGUUUCUCUAAUCUGAGAUCUGAUAAACCCAAGCUGUCUUCAAUCUUGUAUCAGAGAUAUGUUUCAGCAAUGUUAUAGCCAAAACAUGGUAACAGUAUUAAAUUCUUGACGAGUUACAAAAAUAUUGAUAUAAUUUUUAUAAUCCAAAAAAAUGUUUAACAUGUAGCUUGGCCAAUAAACCAUAGGUUUCUCUAACCUGAGGUCUGAUAAACUCAAGCUGUCUUCAAUCUUGCAUCAGAGAUUUGUUUCAGCAACAUUAUAGCCAAAACAUAGUAACAGUAUUAAAUUCUUGAUGCGUUACAAAAAUACUGAUACAUUUUUUUAUAAUCCAAAAAAAUGUUUAACAUGUAGCUUGGCCAAUAAACCACAGGUUUCUCUAACCUGAGGUCUGAUAAACUCAAGUUGUCUUCAAUCUUGCAUCAGAGAUUUGUUUCAGCAACGUUAUAGCCAAAACAUAGUAACAGUGUUAAAUUCAUGAUGCGUUACAAAAAUAUUGAUACAAUUUUUUUAUAAUCCAAAAAAAAUUGUUUAACAUGUAGCUUGGCCAAUAAACCACAGGUUUCUCUAAUCUGAGAUCUGAUAAACCCAAGUUGUCUUCAAUCUUGUAUCAGAGAUAUGUUUCAGCAAUGUUAUAGCCAAAACAUGGUAACAGUGUUAAAUUCUUGACGAGUUACAAAAAUAUUGAUAUAAUUUUUAUAAUCCAAAAAAAUGUUUAACAUGUAGCUUGGCCAAUAAACCAUAGGUUUCUCUAACCUGAGGUCUGAUAAACUCAAGCUGUCUUCAAUCUUGCAUUAGAGAUUUGUUUCAGCAACAUUAUAGCCAAAACAUAGUAACAGUAUUAAAUUCUUGAUGCGUUACAAAAAUACUGAUACAUUUUUUUAUAAUCCAAAAAAAAUGUUUAACAUGUAGCUUGGCCAAUAAACCACAGGUUUCUCUAACCUGAGGUCUGAUAAACUCAAGUUGUCUUUAAUCUUGCAUCAGAGAUUUGUUUCAGCAACGUUGUAGCCAAAACACAGUAAGUGUUAAAUUCAUGAUGCGUUACAAAAAUAUUGAUACAUUUUUUAUAAUCCAAAAAAAUAGCAUGUAGCUUGGCCAAUAAACCACAGGUUUCUCUGAUCUGAGAUCUGAUAAACUCAAGCUGUCUUCAAUCUUGCAUCAGAGAUAUGUUUCAGCAAUGUUAUAGCUAAAACAUGGUAACAGUGUUACCUUCUUGAUGCGUU
rnacentral:lncRNA from 1 species